AGGAAUAGCUCAGCUG
rnacentral:tRNA from 1 species